GACAAAUCAUGUUCACAUGCACUAGCAUACUUAUUUUUCUCCUCUGAAGUAAGGUCCCAUGGGGACAGGGGAAGGGUCGUUACUUAGGCUCUCUAUGGGAGCACCGUUGAGGCUUUUUCAUAAACGACCAAGAUGGCUGCCGCUGAAGUCGCACACUUCAACAGAUGGUUGCUCUGAUUGGUUGAAGGUCUACCAAUUUCCGUCCAUAUCACUUUGGUCUGUGCCCGUUGAUCAUGGCCCUUGAAAAUCUAAAAGGUAGUGAGAGGUUCCAGACUAAAGCCCAUUUGAGAAUUGCUCUGGAAAUGUCAUGUUCUUAUUGUUGCAAGCAUAGGGUCAAUCUUUCAAUGUGAACUGCUGAUUUCCACAUUUACUUCAGUUGAGGGCUUAUAUGAAUGAUAGAGAGUGUUGUGUAUUUACUGCAGCCAUCUUCCUGUAGGCCUUACUACUGUUACUACCCCUUCGCUCUCGGUCCACGCUCCUGUCUGGGACAGAAGUUUGCACAGGUGGGUGACACAGGUAGAUACACCAAACAUGCUAACUCCGAUAAGAAUCCAGAAUCACGAACUGAGUGUGUAUGAUGUGAUUCCAGAUGGAGGCUAAAGUGGUGAUGGCCAAGCUGCUUCAAAGGUUUGAGUUCAGUCUGGUGCCAGGACAGUCCUUUGACAUCCUUGACACUUUAACCCUGAGGCCCAAGAGUGGGGUCGUUUGCAACAUUAAACACAGGAAUCCCAACAUGUGAAACUUUAUAUCGCAAUUAGCUGGUCUAAGAAGCUGUGGUAUACUGCUGACACAACAUGACCAGCAGAUGGCGAUGAUCGACUACUUAUGAGUAACCUGACCGGUAAGAAAACAGCGUGGAGAGGACAUGUUCUUUGCCAAUUUUCGUAGACGGUGUAGUGGUAAAGACCUUGCUGCUAAAGGCAACGUGAAACUUUCAUGUAACAUAAAGAUGAGUUUCUCCAAGUUAAACAUUUUUAACAUUAUUUUACUCCAAAUAAAAGAUAGGAGAUUUAUCUUA
ensembl:lncRNA